GAUCUUGUGUUUCCCUAUUUUUCUUUUCUUUUCUCUUCUACUGUUUGCUCAUUCAUGGCUCGUAAAACUCUUCAAACCGAUGACUGACUAAAACGAACAACCACCCAUAUAGAGAUUUCACUUUUUUUUCAAUUCGAACUUCAUACUAACUAUAAAAAAAAUAUACCGCAAACAACACUCACAAC
rnacentral:ribozyme from 14 species